AUCGGUUCAAAAACCGGGAAUCGUCCGGUUCUAGAGAGAACCGGACGAUUCCGCACAGUGACUCGCCGAUUCACUGUGCAGAAUCGGCGAGUCCGUGAAGAACACGGGUUGCACAGUGUUCUUCACAGAUUUUUUUCAAAUUUGUCAUUUUUUUUGUUUUUUUCGGCACGUGAUCUGUUUUGCAGGCUGUAAACAGCUUUAUUCAGCUUUUUCAACGAUUUAAUGGUGGAAAAAUUGGUUGUUUUUGGAUCAAGAAAAAUUCGGGGUUUAGGGUUUCCGCCAUUUCUGAAAUUUCAUGCCAAAUAGGGCAUGAAUCUUUCAAAAUUUGUAGGCAUAUUGAUCUUAAAGCUGUGAAUCAAAAGAUUUUGUUACUAAUUUGUGAUAAUCGUUGAGAAAAACAGAUUUUUUUGGAGAUUGAAGGCUUCGGUUCACAAAAUCAGGUAAGAACUUUGGG
rnacentral:lncRNA from 1 species